rnacentral:rRNA from 1 species
AUUGAACGCUGGCGGCAGGCCUAACACAUGCAAGUCGAGCGGAGCGGCGGACGGGUGAGUCAUGCCUGGGCAUCUGCCUGGUCGUGGGGGAUCACGUCCGGAUACGGGCGCUACUACCGCCUACUAUCAUAUGAGCCUAGGUCGGAUUAGCUAGUUGGUGGGGUAAAGGCCUACCAAGGCGACGAUCCGUAACUGGUCUGAGCGGAUGAUCCGUCACACUGGAACUGAGACACGGUCCAGACUCCUACGUGAGGCAGCAGUGGGGAAUAUUGGACAAUGGGCGAAAGCCUGAUGCAGCCAUGCCGCGUGUGUGAAGAAGGUCUUCGGAUUGUAAAGCACUUUAAGUGGGGAGGCGUGACCAACAGAAUAAGCACCGGCUAACUUCGUGCCAGCAGCCGCGGUAAUUC